rnacentral:rRNA from 1 species
UACGUAGGUGGCAAGCGUUGUCCGGAUUUAUUGGGCGUAAAGAGCUCGUAGGCGGCUUGUCGCGUCGACUGUGAAAUCCCGAGGCUCAACUUCGGGCUUGCAGUCGAUACGGGCAGGCUAGAGUUCGGUAGGGGAGACUGGAAUUCCUGGUGUAGCGGUGAAAUGCGCAGAUAUCAGGAGGAACACCGAUGGCGAAGGCAGGUCUCUGGGCCGAUACUGACGCUGAGGAGCGAAAGCGUGGGGAGCGAACAGG